CCCUUAGAUGUUCUGGGCCGCACACGCGCUACACUGAAGGAGGCAGCGUGUACUCCUGGAUCGAAAGAUUUGGGUAACCCGCGAAUCUCCUUCGUGCUAGGGAUUGAGGUUUGCAAUUAUCCUUCAUGAACGAGGAAUUCCCAGUAAGUGCAAGUCAUAAGCUUGCGCUGACUACGUCCCUGCCCUUUUUACACACCGCCCGUCGCUACUACCGAUUGAAUGAUUUAGUGAGGACUUCGGACUGGGACCGAUGCGGCUUUCGGGCUGCGUCGGUAUUCUGGAAAGAUGUCCAAACUGUAUCAUUUAGAGGAAGUAAAAGUCGUANCA
rnacentral:rRNA from 1 species